rnacentral:rRNA from 1 species
GAUAAACGCUGGCGGCGUGCUUAACACAUGCAAGUCGAACGAAGUUUUUCUUUCGGGAGGAACUUAGUGGCGGACGGGUGAGUAACGCGAGGGUAACCUGCCCUUUACAGGGGGACAACAGCUGGAAACGGCUGCUAAUACCGCAUAAGCCCUUUGCACUGCAUGGUGCAUAUGGAAAAGGAGCAAUCCGGUACAGGAUGGACCCGCGUCUGAUUAGCCAGUUGGCAGGGUAACGGCCUACCAAAGCGACGAUCAGUAGCCGAUCUGAGAGGAUGUACGGCCACAUUGGGACUGAGACACGGCCCAGACUCCUACGGGAGGCAGCAGUGGGGAAUAUUGCACAAUGGAGGAAACUCUGAUGCAGCGACGCCGCGUGAGUGAAGAAGUAUUUCGGUAUGUAAAGCUCUAUCAGCAGGAAAGAAAAUGACGGUACCUGACUAAGAAGCACCGGCUAAAUACGUG